rnacentral:lncRNA from 1 species
GCCGAUCCAAGUCAGCAUUGCCAUUAGCCCAUUGCAUAUACUGUGUCCUUUCUCUCCUCAACUUGUCCAAUGCAGGCAGUAUCUCAUGGUCCAGAAGCUUAUUUAUCUCAUCAACUUUACUCUGCUUCUUCUCAAGUGUCUUAAGAGCCGCUUCCUUUUUGGUCUCAUACAUUCUCGUCCCGGCAGCCUCUUCAAGCAUAGACAAAAUCUCGGGCGGUUUCAUAUUCAAAACCUUGGUAAUUCGGCCUAGCAUAAUCAAAAAAUGUGGAUUAUUCACAUUGAGCUGCACCGAAUGAAAAAGAUUCUGGACCUGACUCGGCUGCGCAAGUUUCCCGUUGAUCAAGUACUUGUUCCUCCCACCAACCACAAUCUGAUAUAGCAACACCAACGAAUUCGUAUCACACACUCAAUAAUCAGAUUCAUUGAUAGAUUCCGGUUGCAAUCAGAAGCGUUACAACCACUCCACUAAUACAGCAACUUAUAACUAAAUUCAACCUAAGAAAUAGUGAUAAAUUAAGCAAGAAACCCUAAAUCUCAACUACUUAUCGGCUUAACUAAACUCCGGUUGCGAUUAAUCUAACUUCUCGUAACAUCACUACAAUUAAUUACUUAAAUUCAACUUCAAAACAGUAAGAAACCCCCAAAUUCAACAUCAAAAACGACAUCAAAAUCUCACAAACGACACACCUGCCGCGUGACCGUGAGUUCCGAAUGGGCCUCAUACCCGAGGGGACUGCGCGCCCGGUCCGAAUUAUCGAAGACAAUCGACACAGUGGCCUUAGUAAUUCCUGCCUGGCCUUGCUUACACACCAGCUCCUGCAGAUUGGCGGCCCUCACUUGCUGUAAGUUGGUGAUGCCCAGAACGAAGCAAAUGGAAUCGAGAAUGUUGGACUUACCCGACCCGUUUAGCCGGUUAUGGCGUUGAAAAACGGGUCGAAUCCCGGCACCACCUGAUAUUUUACUCACUUAGUCAUGUGCCGCGCACGUGACCAGCCAAAUAGGUCUAUAUAUACUCCUCUCCUUUGAGAGCUUUUGCUCAGUUUCUGGGGCGAGGAUUUGUUUCUCCUUGCAAUGAGCCGUGCACUGGAAAACACUUUAGCGUUGCUUCAAUCCAAGAUGCAAAGUGUAUUGACAACACCACCACCGGGCCGCUACCAGCAGCGACCAUUGGAGCAGUCAUCAACUCCAAUUUCUGAUCCUAAAACUCAAAUUGAGAUUGUUCACUCUCAUCUCUGGAAGGCUCGAAGCAAGCAAGUCGCUCUCAAGUCGACUGCGGUCACCGGAGGAGUGAAGAAUAGACACCGAUCUAGGCUGGGAACCUACGAGUCCCUUACGACUGACACACACCCGAAGCGCAAGGUCUCUUUUCUACGCCUUGUGGCUGAAAUAGCUCAAGAUGUCAAGGUUGAUUGGAGGUCCCAGAGCUUAGUUAUGCCUUCUCUGCUAGGCAGCACUGUGUCGACUCAAGUGAACAACACUCAUGCAUCAUUUUGUUCAGUAAGCAAUACUGGAACUCUCAGUUUCGUGAAUAAUGGUUGUGGGUGCUGUUGAUUCUGUGUUUGUUGGGUCAAUUCCUGUUGGUGUUAGUGUUAGGCAUGAUAAUCAGGGACCAAAUUCGGGUGAGAAGGUGAGAGAAUGUCAUGCACUCCACCUGUUUGAUGAAAUGCUGCAUUCAAAUGAGUUGGGUAAUGUAGGAAGGACUGUUGCAGCUCUUACGAGUAUUCGAGAUAAAAGGUGGGGGACUUGCUCACCAACCUUUAGAAUAUGCACUUGGGGUGAAUCGUGCAAAAGAGAAUGAAGGUGUUGACAUGAAGGCUAAUCAACUUGAGGAUGGCAAUGCUAUAUCGGAGAUAGGUUUUAGCUCUCAACUUAUUCAAAGCAAUGAAUCACUUAAGAUUGUUUCCAGGGCAGAGGUUCCAAUUGAUGGGAUUGUAAUUACUGGUCAAAGCCAUGUGAAUGGGAGUAUGACCACACAUGAGGCAAGGGCCAUUUGUGAAAGAUUUGGUUACAGGAUAAUUGGUGGCACCAUGAGUGAUGGAUGCUUACAGGUUAAGGCAAUCCGUCUUUUUGAGGUUGAUAAAGAAAUUGAUGAAAAUGUGGGAUUAAGUCAGCCUCGAGUGAAGGGAGAGAUCAAAAUGAAAAUGAUGUUAAACAGGAUUUGAAGAUUUUCCAGUCAAGCUAUUUUAGUGGAGGCAUUGUAGUUUUUUCGAAUAUUCAUGAGCUGGAAAAUUAUUUUCAACUGGAUGCCUACAACAGCAAGUCCUUUUUAGGUCUUACGCCCCCUUGAAAGAGUUAUUAAACAGGUGUUGUGGAAGUGUGAAGGGUGAAUGGGAUAACUUACUUGCUGGUGGUUCAUCUGUUACAUUGCUCACCAAGGAUAUAUGUAAUGUUCUGUGGGUGAGUUCUGAUGCGCUAAAGCUAAUCCAAUAUGGGUUGAAAACUGCAGUUGUUUUUGUGAUGGAUAAACCACCUGAUAUUACGAGCGAAUUCUAAAAGGGUACUGGAGUUAAUAUUGGAGAAGUGGAAAUCAAGAGGUACUGUCGAAACAAUUAUUGGCUUGCAGUGUUGCUGUUGUGAGGCAGAGGAGAUUCUACUCUUUUGCAGGGAAGUGUUCAACGUAAUUGGUGAAAUGACUCAAACCACCUCAUUGUCCCAGGUAUCCGCUAUAAAUUUUCAAGAUGAUAGAAGAGAUUUUGUGAGUUUCUUGUGUGACAUGAUUAAGCUCUAUGUCGUGAUCUUUAGUGCUUUUAUUGAUAAUGCUGGAAGUUUGCUUCAUGCUGAUAUAUUCGAGAUAAAUGGAUCUAUUGCUAGCUCUCUUGUUGAUAUGUAUGCCCACUGUGGAGUAGAUAUAGAAGAGACUGUUUUUCACUUGAUGAUAUCCAGGGGUUUAGGGAAUAUGGGUCAGAUUAUUAGUUCAGUGGCUGACUCCUCAAAUAAGAACUCAUUUUCUGUUGAGGUUGUUGGGGUUUUUGCUUGGGAUGGUGAUCCAGGGUCUUCACACAUCAAAAGGGCCAAGGCUGAGAUGUCAACUAUUUGUGUUUUGGACUAUGAGAAUGGGUUUAGUGCAACAGAAGUGCCCCAGUUUGGCGGAAUUGAUUUUGGCCAAGGGUUUUCAAGUGAUGAAAUGCAUAAGUCUGGAUUCAUGUUAUAUGGGUUGGGGUCAAUGAAGAAUUUUGCUACUCCACAUGAAGUUAUUGCUGUCUCUUGGAAUGUUAAUUUGCUGGCAGCAUAUGUCAAGUCUGGAUGUAUAUAGUGGCCAUCAAUUGGGGCUGAUAACACAUAUGUCAUCUCAUUCUCAAAUGUGACUUCAUGGAAUCACAUAUUCUGUUGCUAUUUCCAGAAUGAGAUCAACAUGGAGGUAAAACAUAUAAUUAAUAGCAUACAAGAAGUUGUUGUUUGCUGGAACUAUAUGAUAGCAGGGAAUUCACUCAAUAUCAACAUGAGGUGAUUACCAUGCAAAUUUCCUAUGCUACUAUACUGCUGAGUUGCUGUGCAAAGCUUGCUUAUUCAUCUCCAGGGAAACAUGUUCAUGUCUGGUUACAUUUAACAAAAUUUGGAUAUGUGAAUGAUGCAUGCCUUAGUUGAGUUUCAUGAUCAAAUGUCCCCACGAUACAAGUCAAAGAUAAUGAAGUAUCUCAGAGAGCAUCUGAAAUCAUCAAGUGAGCUCUUACUUUCUCCUCGUGUGAUUCAACUCUCUUUGGUGGAAUCUACUUAUCAAAGUAAAUUGGUGAUGACUUUAUCCACUAGUUUAUUGGAUGAGCUUUACAACACAGGAAUUGGAUUCAGCCAUAGUGCAACAUCCAUGCUAGCAAUUGGAAAUGGUUCUAUGCUUGUGCUAUUGCAACUGGUUUGGUUGAUGUUAGAAAAACUUUUCAAGUGUGAGCACAAGGAAAAUGUAUUUACCAGUUUCGAGCUACUGUUGACUAACCAAUUUAUCAUAAAGGCUCUUGGGUUCCAGCAAAAGCUCUUUAUUCUUAUUGGUCUACUAGUGACAGAGAGUUUACCUUAUGAUCUAAUCGUGAUAUGGGGUGAUGAAUGGUUUUUGUCAGGAAAACACUAUUGUUUUCUUGGAUAUGUGAAUGAGGUGAACAACUGUUCAUUCAGGUUGCUUGACAAGCUCAAGGCUGAGCGUAAGUGUAAUAAAACCAUUGAUAUCACGCUGUGGAAUUUUGAGACCACCAAGUACUACACUGACUUGUUGCUCCCAGACAUCCUGAUUUCAUCAAGGACAUGAUUACUAGUACUUCCAAGGCUGAUAAUGCUAUCCUCAUCAUUGACUCCACCACUGGGGGUUUGGAAGCUGAUAUCUCGAAGGAUGGGUUAGCCUGCGAGUACACUCUGUUCACUUUCACUCUUGGUGACAAGCAGAUGAUCUAUUGCUGCAACAAGACUUCAUGGGAUGCCAUACUCUCUUGCAGGUGGUUAUUUGAGCUCCAAUUAUCCAGCAGGGUACUUCUCUUAUGCUCAUAUGAUUCUUUCCAAAUACACAUCAUGGAACCGUUGCUGCAACAUGCUUCAGUUUUUUCCUGAUAACUUGUGGGGCGGUAUUUGAAGAUCUAUAUUUUUGGGUGCUGUGUAGUCUAGACUAUAGUUGGUUAAAUUGCAAUGUCUCUUUGAUAAUUGAAACUUGAGGUCAAGUUUGUUAAAGGGGUAUGGAUUGUCAUGAUAUUUUACUCAUUUAGUCAUGUUAUGAUGUUUUUGGGUGCUGUUUAGUCUAGACUAUAGUUGGUUAAAUUGCAAUGUCUCCUUGAUAAUUGAAACUUGAGGUCAAGUUUGAGAGCUUUUGUUCACUGUCAAUGAAAAUAUCAGCAUUUUAAUUUCUUUCAUUUCUGCAUUUCUUUGCUUUUCUCUCUAGUUAGGGCUAAUACCCUAACACCACCAUCCGCGUCGCGUAGGACUUGAAUCCUUCCAAGGUCACCUCCUUGAUGUACAUAGCUGCGCUCACCGGAGAGAUGCGGGCGCUAAUCGGUGGCCGAUUUUGGAGAGAUUUAGGGUCGGUGGUUGGAUCGAAACCCUAGAAAUUUGAGCUUCUGGUUUUUGGUUUUGGGAACUUGAAAGUCUAAAAUGAAAUGGUUCGAAUUUCUUUUUGUUGUUUUCCGCUUUUUUGGGUGGGUUCGAAUUUUUAACCCUAGACAAAGGCGGGAAAAGACAGAUAUAUUUGGGCUUUAUCUAACAGUGUAUGAGCUUUAAACUCAUGAACGAUGUUGUUUUGUAACGCAGGAUUUCGAUUUUAAAUUCGCAGUUUUCCCAGUUUGAAAACUCAUUAAAAACGAUCGGGUGAAGAUUUUUCAAGUUCGUCUUAAAGAUCAUGAUUUACCGAUAUAAAGAAUUUGGUGAACAUGUAAGAAUAUGAGAUUUUUGUCAAAAAAAAAACGUGUGCUACAAUCCACAAUACAAUUUCAUAUGGAUAUCAUGAUUUCGAACAAUUUCUUGUUUUCUUAGAAAAAUCUCUGCAGUUGGUUCCUAUUGUAAAACUGGUGUUUAACUGAAGCAAUUUCUACGAUAUAGAAGAGUCAAAACUUCUUUUUCUUAGACAGACUGGUUCAGUACAACAUGGUACACUCGGCAUUGUACAUGUUUCUAUAGUCUGUAUGUAUGAAUAUCUACUCACCUCAGUUUCUCUUUUACAACACUAAAUGACUGCAUAUUUCUCUACAUACACAAGAAUCAAUAAUGCCAUUUUGGUCUUUCUUCCUCUUCCUUUUCGGUCAACUCCCGGUACUGAUACCACACUGCUCCAGACUUACCCACUGGGAUUGGAGACCUAACAAAUAUUUCGACUAGCUUGGGAACAUGCACAGCUAAAUGCAGUUCCCUGCAGUUUUUUCUGCAUUUGAAUCAGAACUUCUUAAUAAUCUGCAAAUAGGUUCAAUACUAGUCCAACCUAAGCCUGAUAUAGCCGCAUCACAUGCUGGCCUGCAUACAAGGAAAAGAGAAGAAUUCUCAUAUUGAUUAACUAACUAACUUUAUGGAAAUAUCAGAAUUGCGAUACUCAUAUGGAUGAUUUACCUUUGCACAUCUUCAACUUUUAUUUGCAAUUGACGCUGAGAGUCGAGACCUCUCCAUUCAUCUGCUCUUUCUUUCCCAGUUGGAGGUGUCAGUAAGACUCCAACGUGUUUCUGCAACAUGGUAAAAGGCACAUUACAAUCACACCAAUCAAUUUAAAGAGAAAAAUAUCACGCACACCUUUAAGGCCGGAAUGGUAUCACAUUUUCGUAGUGUCAGUAACAUAAAAGGGUUCACUUUAAUUGCUUUCAAAAUAUUUUAAAUGCUUCAUAAGUCAGCUGUACUUGGGAAAUAAGAAACUAUGAAUCUCAAGUGGGACCUUGAUUACCUGGUAAAAUUCAUCAGCCUCAUCAGUUGGUACCAUAUGAAUCUGAAGACUCUUUGGCCCAUAAAAUGUUAAACAUGUCUCAGGGAGAACCUGAAAUUACCAAUAUUUGAUUACUCAGGAAACACCGUAUAUGCAUCAGCCAGAUAAAGAUCGUACCUGAAGCUACAAGGCCAAACCAAACCUUUAAGACAUCUACUCUGAGAAGACCUCCCCAGAAUAUUAAAUAGCCAUUCAAAUCAUUGGAAUUGCCUUGCCUUGUUGUUCCACUUCCAGAAACCUGAGAAUUCUGGAGGGAUAAGAAACAGUCAACAACUCAAAGAUACCAAAGGAAAAAACAAGAGAAAGAAAAACAAUUAACUUACAGGCAAAGAUUGACCCCUAAGCCGACUUUGAGGAGCAAGGGAAGGUAGGUCUUCUGAAUGAACCACAGCGGCUUGCCUAUGAUGGAGAUGAACUCCAGGUGUGUCGUAUAAUUUCUGCAGAUAACAGAAUGUUACUGUACUAAACUCUGAAAGGCAAUGGUAAUAUACAGAUGCUAUAGCAUACCCCUCCUCCUAGGAAAGCGUUGAGUUGAAUUGAACCCAGGGUCGUUCCAGGGACAGCAGACUGUAUUGGUUUGUACUUUUGCGCUGAUGCAGCAACUGGAUCCUUUUCCGCCAUCAGUUCUGGUAUAAUGGUAAUACAGUAUUAACAAAAGUCAGUUCAAAAGAAGAAUAACUCGUUUAGAAAAAUAAAUCCCGACAUUUAUCUUUGUGAACAGAAUUGCUAUGAACUUCAUAGCAACCAAAGGCAACAAAACAUAUCAGAUGUCAACUAAUGAACUUACUCAGUUAAGCACCGAUAAAAGCUGAUUUCCCAACAUUUGUGGAGCCCUGUAGCAAAAGGUAAGCUAAACUAUCAGAUGCAAAAGCAUUUUUUAUAGGUCAAUCCAAGUAUGCACCAGCUAGAGGAUAAUCGAUACAGAAGGCAAAGCAAGAUAUGACAACUCUUUUGUUUUACUUCCUUUUACAAGCAUACUCAAAUAGAAAUCAGCAACAUGACUUGACUGGGCAUGAAAGAUUUUCAUGGAUAAAAUACCAGUAAAAAAGCAUGUGCUGAUUCAAAAUCUUAUUGAAGUUCCAUACAGUCAACAGGUUAAAAUCUCAAAUGUGAUUGAGAAUCAAAUCAAAUUCAUAGCAGUUCACAAGAAACCACACACUCCAAGAGCAAGGAUAAGUAAAAAAAAUUCAGGUUCUGAGAAGUGUUAAAUUCACUUGACAAAACCAAAUACUCAGCACUAAGUAAGUAAACUUCCAGAGUUCCCAUCAAGAAGCUCACCAUAACAUACACGUCCCGCCCCUGCACCAAAAAAUAACCAAAGAACUCAGUUUGAAGUUCCUGUAAAUGAUAGAUAUUCAUACUUAUUUCAUUCAACAGGAAGUACAAAUUUACAAUGUAUAAACCUAUUUCCUCUGUUGGCUAUAAUUAAAUAACUUAUAUCAAUGGCUUUAGUCAGAUCAAUGAAUUUCACACAUGAAGAUGCACAUACACUGAGAAGUAAAUACUUUUUUUUCCAUUUGAAUCUCUGAUGCAACUCCAGCUACUCCAACCAAAGACUUUGAACUCAUCAGAUGAAUGCUCAUAACACUGCAAAUAAGCCUCAAGGACACUCUUUUAAAAAGACACCAUAUAAAAUAAGUAAAAGCAAAGGCUAAGGAAACAAAUCUUACUUAAGCUUCUUCUUUACAGUGGCCUCUACAACCCCAUCACCAAUGCAAUUAAAAUCAGUCCCCUUGGGAAGUAAAUCAAUCUGUCAUUCGAAAAGUGCAAUUAGAAAGCUGCGUGCAUCAAUGUCAUGUUACAUAAGUUACAUAAGUACAAAUGAGAAGCUUAAUACCUUAGUAAUGACUAAUAUUAUGGGAUUUGCACCGGCCAGAUCACGCAUACCUUAGUAAUGAUAAUGCUAUACACAUAAACUGAUAUCAAUGGCUUAAACAAUGAACUGGACACAAGCAUACACAUAACUAACAAGUGCAUACCUUCUUUUCCUUUUGAAUCUCUGAUGCAACUCCAGCUAGCUACUCCAACCGAGGACUUUGAACUCAUCAGAUGAACGCUUAUAACACUGCAAACAAGCACCAAGGGAAACUCAUUUGGAUGGAUAAUAUAUAAAUAAGUACAAGCAAAGGCCAACGAAACUAAUCUUACUUAAGCUUCUUCUUUACAGCGGCCUCCAGUCCACCGCAACUCAAUCACCAAUACAAAUUAAAUCAGUCCCCCAACCUGUCAUUAGAAAGUCCAAUUAGAAAACUGCAUGAAUCAAUGCCACAUUACAUAAGUACCAAUGAGCUGCUUAAUACCUUAGUAAUCACUAAUAUUAUCAGAUUCGCACCAGCCAAAAAGCUACCAUUGAAGUCCACAAUAUCAAGUUAUCAACCAACAUAACCAUCUGCCUAGUUCAAAAUUUAGUCAGUAGAUUAAGAAAUGAAUUCGGUGUUGAUAGGUAACUAAAUUUAAAACAGAGGAAAGUUUGACAAGCUUCAAUAUGUUCCUUCACUUUUCAAACAUAUUUGAUAAUAUUAUCAUCAGUGCGGAUGUUGUCUGAAAUUACAACUAUUUACCUGUAAAGGACUCUAUAACCCAUACACGAGCUGCCCAUCAAUAUGUAGAGGACAGUCCCAAAUAAAAAUUUCAAGUCGCUCAAGUGAAAGAGGCAGGCCUUCCUCCACUGGAAGAUUUGCAAGCUUGGGACAGCCGGAGAUGUAAAGAUGUUCAAGAGAGGUGAGGAGUUGAAAGCCUUUGAUUUGAAAGCUUUUGUGGAGGAAAAGGAUGUGAUCAACAGUUUUGAGCAUUAGGAGACCUGUAGAUGGAAGAAAUAAAACGUUAGAUGUGGAAAACAGAGGAAAGUUUGACAAGCUUCAACAUGUUCCCUCGCUUUUCUACAUGUAUUUGAUAACAUUAUCAUCAGUGCGGAUGUUGUCUCAAAUUACAAGUGCGUACCUGGAAACCACUCCAUCGAGGAGUGUUGGUUUUCUCUUAUAUGAGUUCCAGAUUAAUUCGUACUUCAGGGAUGUGUGCUAUCUUGUGCCGGUAUCGUCCUUUGUAUCUCUGUUCAAGUAGAGGACAGUUGUAAAUAUCAAGUCGCACAAGUGAAAGAGGCAGGCCUUCCUCCACUGGAAGGGUUGUAAGCUUCGGACAGUUCCAGAUCCAAAGACGUUCAAGAGAGGUGAGGAAUUGAAAGCCCUUGCUCAGUUUCUUUAGAUUUGGGAAGUCUACAAUACUCAAAUCAACAAGAGAUCUGGGGAGCAGUAUCUCCGUCUCCUUUGAAUUCUCAGCCGCAGGUGGAAAUGACACCAGACCUCCAUCAUCUUCACCCCAUAGAUACAAUUCUCUCAAAGAGGCGAGUCUCUGCAACCCUUGAAACUCCAUCAGCGCCUUACAAUUCUUGAUCUUGUCAAUUGACAGUGAUGUUAGGUUGGUGGGGAAGGAAGUUGUAGUUGUCAAACCUUCAAAGUAAUCAAUUCUCAGAUCUUCAAGAUUACUGGUGUGCAUCAUGUCUCUCGCCAACUGUGCCACCUCCAAUUUAUCGCAAUUUCUGAUCCCUAUCAUUCUCGGCCACACAUUCAUUCUCGGCAACGAAACAAGACUUUGACAAUCAUAAACAAUUAAUGACUGAAGAUUGGUGAGGUGGCACAGUCCCUCGGGUAAGGAUUUCAGGUUUGGGCAGUUCUCGAUGUCAAUUUCUUCGAGUUGGCAGCUGUCAUCGAGGAACCUCUCAGUUAUUAACUCCAGCUGUCCACACCGCAGUAUCACAAGUUGUUUAAGAGACCCGGGUAAUUGACCUUUGCAUAAUAAGCACAUCGAAGAGGGACAAUUCCUUAUCCACAAACUCUCAAGACAAGAAGAAGAAGAACCGUUACCCACCUCCUCCUCUUUCUCUAUUAAUGACUUCAAAUUCCCACAAUUCCAGAUAUCUAUUCUUUUUAGGCUGGGAGGAAUCUGGUAUUUUGCAAAGUGCAACAGAGAUUCGCAGUCCUGAAUCACUAUGUCUUGGAGACAAGGUGGCAGACCAACAUCCGGAAAAGAAACAAGACUUGAACAUUCACUUAUGUGCAGCUCUUGAAGACAAGGUGGCAGACCAACAUCCGGAAAAGAAACAAGACUUGAACAUCCACUUAUGUGCAGCUCUUGAAGUGAUCUAAGGUGAUGCAAUCCUUCUGGUACCUUCACAAGGCUUCCACACUUGCUUAAUUCCAGACGUUCAAUAUUGCAAUCCAGGAUUUGCAAUUGCAACAACUGCUCUGCUUCAAUCCCUAGCUUUUCAACAAGGAUCGAGUUGUCUUCGAUAUACAGACGACUAAGAGAAAUCAAGUGUUGCAGUAAUCUAUCCUCGUUUUGAAAGCAACAUGUAAGCUCCUCACAACGAGUGAUCUUCAACUCUUUAACAUUUUUCAAGCUUUUCAUGAACGACUCUGUUUGGAAUCUCAAUUCUGAUACAUUUGAAUAUGUCAAACUCUCUAGUAACUCAAACUGAACUGUACUUGUGUCGUACACCACCAUCUUGCACUUUUCAAUGUUUGAUCCAUGAAGCUGUUUGUAUUUAGAUACUGAAACCACCAAUUCCUCACAUCCAUAUAUCUCAAGCUGUGCUAAUGAAUCAAGCUUCUCUGGUAAAUCACCCUCCAAUUUGGGGCAGCCCCUGAUGGAAAGCUUUUUCAGGCAAGAGAAAACUUCAACACCCUCACUUUGUUGGCAAGGAUACCACUUCUUCCAAUUUUUCAGAUUAUGUAACUCCAGGGUCUCUAAAGCUCGAAACGACAAUUUACCUUCUCCAUAAAACUCAACACCAACACUCUCCACUGCAUCCAUUUCUUGUAUACAAAGUUCUUUGAGACAAGGCAACUGUCCGAAUGGUGGCAACAAUUGACAAUGAUUACAACCUUCUAACUUUACCCGCACCAUUUUUGUGAAUGAAGGAUUCCCAAUCCAUGUUGAAAAUUUCGAUCCACCAUAAUCUUUGAUGGUGAGCUUUUUGAGCUUGCUAUGAGGCUGUAACAUGUCAAGCACAAUUGCUGCAUCUUCUGUUGAGACACUCGAAGAAGACCAUUCAAGAAAUAGGGCUUCAAGCCUUUCCUUGCUCUUUAAGCAGUUGGCACUCCUGGCAUCCUCGACACAAAUCACAUUUUCUAGUCUUGAGAUGUGCAAUGUCCCUUGCAGAUGCAAUAAUGACUCGAUCUCUCUUACUCCUGAUCCACUACCUUUGCCAAUAACAAACUCAGGCAAUGUUUGGAGGUUAGUCAAUUGACCAAGCUGAGGAGGCAUUUCUUCCAAUGACCGUGUACCUGAAUUGUUGAGAUGACGCAAAUUAACUAGGUUCCUCAUGCUUGUGGGCAGUGCCUUCAACUGGUGACAACUUUCCAAUAACAAUGUCUGCAAGUUGUACAGAGUUGUUGUCGAGUCUGGCAAACUUCUUAUCCCAGUGUGGGAGAGAUCAAGAUACCGUAGAUGCUUCAAUUCACCAAUUGUAUCUGGCAACUCGAUUAUUUGAUAACUUUUCAAAGAGAGGAGUCGUAAGUAUUGGAGUUUGGGAAAUAAAUUAGAAGUAACCUUCUGAGCCAGAUAAUGAGAAUCUGGAAGUGACCCAAGUGAAAGUGGUAAGAAUGUCCGCAAACAUAUAGCUUCAGAAUAGACCUCGAACUUCUUAACCCCGUCACACACUCCAAGAAUGUAAGAUGAAUGACGAAUCUUGGGCAAACAUGAAUGUUGCUGCGAGUCAUAAUUCUGCAUGUCCUCCAAUCUACAACAUGAACUUCCUGCAGCCCAACGAGCCAAAUCAGUAACCAGGUCAUGCAUUAUGUAUCGCGACUCUGUUUUGCUUGAUUUUUGAAAUAAUGACCUGGACACCAACUCUUGAAAAUAGUCACGUCCCAAAUCUUCCAUUUGCUUAUGUUCUUUGGGUUGCUGCGGAAUCAAACCUUCUGCCAUCCACCAAAGGAUCAAUUGCAUCUCCUUAAAUUCAUAAUCAUUUGGAAGUAUUGCACAGUAGGAGAAACACCGUUUCAAAGUCGAAGGGAGAUAAUGAUAGCUCAGUUUUAAUGCUGGAAGGAUAUCCAUCUUGUUCUGGUCUGAUAGAGUCCACAUCUUGUGGUCUAAUAUGUCUUCCCAUUCGUCUACUUCUUUACAACGUAAAAGCCCACCAAGAGUCCUUGCAGCUAACGGUAGCCCGUUGCAUUUUUCUACAAUUUUUCCUUUAAGGAACUCAACAUCUUCAGGUCUGUUAUUUAAGAGAGCAUGGUGCUGAAAGAGUCUCCAACAAUCAUCUUCUGACAUCGGCUUCAAGUUAUAAGGGCUCCUAUCUCCCAUCAUAUUUGCGACAUUGGCGUCACGUGUUGUCACGAUGAUCUUACUUCCAGCUGCUCCAACACGAAAGGAGGCCUGCAGUGUAGUCCAAUGACCAUAGCUACAAGUGUCCCAGACAUCAUCAAGAACAAUUAAAAACUUCUUGCCAGCCAAUUCCUUACUUAACUUCUCCAGAAUUGAGUUAAGCUCCUUGACCUGAACUGGAGCUGACGUGACUGAUUCCAAAACGGCUGCUGCCACCCUUACAAUGUCAAAGUCGUCUGACACAGAUACCCAUCCUUUUGGGGAAAACUGGCCAGUUGCAGCAUCGUUGAAUACAUGUUUAGCAAGUGUUGUCUUUCCUAGUCCUCCAGUACCGACAAUACCAACCACAUGAUACUUCUCUUCUUUUGAAAGCAAAUCAUAGAGAAUCUUAUCGUUUGCUUCAUCCCUUCCGAUCACAGGUCCAUCAGGUUGAGAAGUAGUGAGUGGCAUUUUCCAUGGCUUUUUAGUGGGUCUAUCAAGUUCCUUCAAACCAAACUGCUUCUUUCGAGUAGUUAUCUCCUCAAGUCGAUCACUUAUCUUCUUGAUUGCUGAGUUCAGAUCAAAAUUGGACUUAACUUUAGAGAGUGAGCUCCAUAACUUGCUUUUGCUUCCUUGUUGUCUUUCUAUCCUCCGCUUCAGCAUUUUAGUAUCAAAUAUGUCCAAUACAUCUUGAACAUCGUAAGCCAAAUCUCUGAGAUCAUCUAGCCACAGUUUCACUCGACUUUGUGUUAGUUGCUUCUCCUCAGCAUCACUCAGCACCGCUUCAACGGCCGUCAACGUUCUAGUCCAUUUCUCCAGCACCUUUUUGUCGACCCCCUUAAGGCGUCCGAAGUACUCAGUGAUCUCUUGAUCCGCCAACUUCUUAAGCAGCACCGGGAGGAAUGCACCAAGAACAGCCUCCCCCAUCGUUUCUUUUUUGUACAAUCGAUGGUAUUCAAAACUGCAGAAAGUGAAGCUAGUAGUUAAUCAAGGUACAAUUCUAGUUGAUGCAUGCAUGCUAGAAAAUAAUUUAAACAAUGAAAUGGGUGUUUAAAUUUGAUUUGUUUCCCUUAAUUUGCAAGAUCGGAAACAUGCACUUACAUGAAAAGUUGAUUAUUUCUUCUGUGAGCUCACAACUAAAACACUUGCAACGUUAAUUCUUCCACAAGGUGAUCGGCCAAGUCUCUUAGAUCAUGAUCAUGACAGACUUUCUUGUUGCAGAUCGAUCUGAUUCCAGCUAUACUGCACAAAUGAGUAAGUGGAUCCAGUUCAUAAUGAUAAUCCAACAUGAAUAUAACUGCAGAAUGAAAUUAGUAACGGAUUCAAGAAGAGCUUACAUGGAUCAAAGGAUAUCUGAAUCCAAAAUCAAGAAGCCCUUUCUUCUUUAGAGAUGAAUAAUGCAUACAGUGCAGUGUGUAUAGAUCAAGUAUGAAUGGAUAGAAGCUCCUUUGGCAAAAAGUCAACGAUAUGAAAGCCACUCGCACUUUCCUAAAAGUCGAUGAAACAAAGGAGAGCCACUACCCAACAGGAACGACGAGAAAAGGCAAUGGAACACAAAGGUUUCACCCUGCCGACACCGAAAUUACCAUUUAACACCUGCUGUAUGUGCAUCUAAUGUUUUCAUCUGUUUUUUUGUUCUACUGGAUAGUUUUAGAACAGUGGGCAAAACUGACGACGACUAUGUUUUGUGAGAAUAAUUACGCUUUUGGUCCAUUACAAGCGAGGCUAGGCAUAUGGCUACUGUCGUUUUAGUGAAAAGAUUACGCUCUGGCUUUCAAAUAAUCCACGAUUGUUUCAGUGAAAAGUCAUGAUUUUGGAUGGACCAAAAGAUUACAUAACUCACAGUCAGUGAGACUAAUAUUGCUAUGUUUAGUGAGACUAAUAUUGCUUACGGUACCAAAUGUUUAGUAAAUGAUUUUUGCAAGGUGUUCCAAUUGAUCAACGAAGAUGCGUUUUUGGCAAUAAAACGUAUUUGGACCAUCGUUUUUUGGUGAAUUUGAAUAUUUAUUGGAUAGUCUUCACAGAGAUGGGCUCAUGGGCAAUAUCAUUCAAAUUCGACAAUUAUUCGAAAAUUUGGCGUACAAAUUCGACAAUUAUCAUUCAAAUUCGACGCUCUACAAUAUAUGCAGGUUGAGCACAGAGCUCAAAACAGGCACAACAUUGGAAUGCCACCACCAUGGAACUACUCAAGAGUUGAGAGAGUUUUACAUAUACAUUUGUACCUAAAUGAGAGCUGGAGAUUGGUUGCAUAACCAACUAGCACAUGUAGCGGACAAACAAGAAGUUUCUCAUACAUACGUUGAAGAUAGAUAAGCCCUCACAUGAAAGGAUCAUUCACCAUGGUAAAGUAAAACAUCUGAACCAAAAGAGAAAAGUUUGACAAAUCAGAACAAGUUAUACUUGAUAUGAUAGCAAAGAAGCAACUUGUGUUCAACGCAAAGCUACAAUUGAAAUGAGCAUGGAAACAUGGAAAGAAAACAGUAGAAAGGGCCAUUUAGUAAAGGGAUUCGAGAUGUACCAGCAUCACUUGUUUUGUUUAGCAACGGUCCUUUGAACAGUUGAAACUCCAUCCACAAACUUUGUCCGGAAAAGGACAUUAGCAUUAUUGAACAUGCCUUCUUUCAGUGAAACCACAAUGAACUGAAAAAAAUGUGACAAACAAGAAAAAUGGGUAAGUAGACGUCGCAUAUUAUCUUUAUAAGUUAUGCCGCAAUCUCCUUUGUAGAAUGAGGUUUGAAUUACAAACUCCAGAAUACCAGACUCUACAAACAGCCAAGGGACGAUGAUCAGUCAAAGAGCAGUGGAUAUGCCAGAUAACAACUAUGCCUAAAACAUUUUCUGAACUUUUUGAGAUUUGUAAAAGUCAGAUAGUAUUACUUAUUUACUUGCACAAUGACAGAAAAGAAGUUGUAUCUUAGCUAAACCUAACUUUAUGGAUUACUGGAGGAGAAGAUGGCACAUGUCAGAAGAAGAUUCCAGCUAGGUAAAAUGUAAAUAACCAGAUGGCAGAAUCCACCAACCUGGGAGUGUGGGAAAUGACUUUUGAUCAUUCUUCCAAUAUUCUGGGUGUGACUUAGAUCAAGAGCUGCAUCAACCUGCAAGUGAAUAAUAAGAUGCUGAUAACUGUUUCAUCUUAACAACCAGAGACCAAUACAAUAUAUAAUGAACCCACAUUAAAGCUUUGCAGAUACCAAUACAGUCUACAGAUGCUACAAGUAUCCCACUAGAUUACUCCAAAAAAGAAAAAAAGUAAAACUUUGAAUGACAACUUCCACAUGUGGAGUAGCUAUUUCAAACAAAGAAAAGACAUGAAAAAAAGCUAUAAUUAUGGAGAACACUUGGAGGACCAUUAGCAAAGUACCUCGUUUUCCAUCCUCUUCCGUUCAAGAUUUGUCUCGUGAAGUUUGUCUUGAAGUCUUUGCUGCUCAGAUUCAAUGCCAUUAAUUCGGGAAUUACACUCCUUCAUCUUCAUACGAAUUGAAUCAAAAUGGGAUUUUGCAUGAUCAUGCUUAUUUCUUGUAGAAUUUACCUGUGAAAGAGAAGUUUGCAGCAUGAUUAAUCGUACACAAAAUAUGAAUCAAAAACAGUAUCAGAGUUUUUACCUUCUCUUUCUGUUCUUCUACUUCUGAAAUGAGUCCAUCAAUUUGUUCUCUCAAAGAAGACAACUGAGUCUCCAAAGAAGCAAGCUCUUUUAAAACAACAUCCUUUUCCAUAAUAAGCUUCUCCUUUUCAUUUUCAUGUCCCUAUCAGUCAAUAAAAUCAUAUCACAGAAAAAUUAAAGUGCUGAUGUGGAAUCAGACAAUUUAAUCAACCCAGAUCCUGGAGCAGUUUCCAGACAGAAUUAGCCACAUGAAGACUUCUAAAUAACACUGGCAGACAUCUUCCAAAAUGCUAAUCUUUUACUUUUUUCCUGGAUGUUUCAAUUACGGAGGGAGCAUCUUAGUUAAACAACUCCCGUGCAGUUUAUUUUCCAUAACAACGUUAUGUAAAUUGGAUUUGAAACCAUAAGACUACCUGAAAUUCAUAACUAAGUUUAUUUUAUAUAGAAGGAUGGGGAACAUAGAAAUUCUUUUACGAAUUACAUUUAUAAUAGUAUGAGAUCCAAAAUCUGAUAGGUGGUUUCAGUAGGCCAGCCAAAUGAUUCACAAGAACCACUAUCUAACAAGAAACAUCAUCAAACAAGUUGUUUCAAAUAAAGUAAGCUCAAUCAGACCAAAAAAAUAAAAGCUCAAUUAGAUGCCACGGAUAAUAGUUCAAUUAAAUCUCAGCAAUAUUAAAACUUACCUUGAGAUCCUUUGAAGCUGACUGGAGUAGAGCUUUUGUUUCUUUGAUCUUCUUUUCCAAAUCUUUCAGCCUCUCCUCCCGACUGUUGUCAUGCUCUUUGAUUGAUUUCUCAAGAAAUGACACUUUAUUCACACAAUCUUCAUGCAAAAGUUUCUUUUCUUUGGCCGCAGUAUUAGCUUCUUGUAGCUCUUGCUCAAUCCUCUUUACUAAUUCACCAAGCUAGAUAGCAGAAUAAAAAAAUUAAGAUUCACGUCAUAAAUCCAGUAAACACAGUCCGCAGCAUAGUUCUGCAACUGAAUAUGCUAAAAGAGAAAAGAAACGUGACAAAACCUUAUGAUGCUCAUUUUGUUCAGCCCUGCCCUGAAAUAAUUUAAGGUCAUAUGAUUUGAGUUCUAACUGUUGUUUAAGCUCCAUGAACUUCUUGUGAAGAGGCUGAAUCUCUCUUAUCUGCAAAUGGUAAUACAUUAAUGAAAUUGCUAUGGAAAUGAAGUUCCCAAUGACAUAUAAAACAGCUACACUAUAACUUUUCAAUUGCAUAUAGUGUAAUAUGGAAUUUCAGUAUCUUAUUGAGAGAAAAUAACAUUUCAUAGGCAACCUUAGCUUCAAUCUCAGUCAACUUUUUCUGAUGCUCAGAGAGUUUUAGCUCAGCUUCAGCCAGCUCAUGAAGCUGCCUUAACAGAUCACCCCCACCCCUGUGACAGGAAAUGAUUGCUUAAGAAGGAAAACUAGCUAGAAGUAUAUGUACUUUGAAUUGAUAAAUGAUAAGGACAACACAAGCACAUGAAAUNNNNNNNNNNNNNNNNNNNNUCAUCAUAGCCAACCAAAGAAAGUGCAAGUUCAGCAUUUUCCUUGCCAACCUGAUCAUAGAAUCAAGGUUUUUAGUAUACAAACCACCCCAUUGGGAGGAAAGAAAAGGGGCAGGACGAACUAUUGGCAAAGCAAAAUAACCAAUUUAGCAGCAGCAUUUUGAACCCUAGGAGGAACCGUGUGAGCUUGAAUUUUGUUCAAGGGUAUGAUUGUUACUCUUCUUCGAAGAUUGCCAUUCUGAAGAAGUUGCUUUCGAGUACUUUCCGUGUCUACAACAACAUUAAAUAACUUUCCACCGGCAGUGACCUAGAAAUCAAAGAUAUGCUGGUUAAUACACAUUCUAUAAGUCAUGAGAUGAAAUCAUCUGUAAUAAAUGCAUUUUCACCUCUAAGGCAGUCAUUGUGGAGCUAUCCUUCACUUUGAUAAGUCUUGCAACAACACCCUUGACCUUAGACCUAUCAAAAUUGUUCACAGGAUCUCUAUAAGAAAAGUCAACGUUUCCCAAGUGUCCUGAAAGAUUACGCAUUUCCUCCUUCAACUUCUGCACACACUCCAACUCAGAUGAUCGGUCCUGAAUAAAAUAUUCAUUUAGAGAAGGAUCCAAAUUNNNNNNNNNNNNNNNNNNNNNNNNNNNNNNNNNNNNNNNNNNNNNNNNNNNNNNNNNNNNNNNNNNNNNNNNNNNNNNNNNNNNNNNNNNNNNNNNNNNNNNNNNNNNNNNNNNNNNNNNNNNNNNNNNNNNNNNNNNNNNNNNNNNNNNNNNNNNNNNNNNNNNNNNNNNNNNNNNNNNNNNNNNNNNNNNNNNNNNNNNNNNNNNNNNNNNNNNNNNNNNNNNNNNNNNNNNNNNNNNNNNNNNNNNNNNNNNNNNNNNNNNNNNNNNNNNNNNNNNNNNNNNNNNNNNNNNNNNNNNNNNNNNNNNNNNNNNNNNNNNNNNNNCUUUUCUCUUUCAACUCCUUUUCACAGUGACGAAUUUUUGUUUUCAACUGUUCCAGUUCUGUUUCAGCACUCCCUACAGCUCUUUUGGCAUCACCCAAUUGAUCUUCGAGGCAUUUAUCCUCAUUUCCACUACUCUUGCCAGCGAUUACACCCUGGAAACAUUAAUGAAUCAAAAAUCAUAGUGAUUCCAAGAGUAACUCGCACACCAUGCAAGCCUAACAUGUGACUUAGAUGAACAAGGUAUAGGCAACACAUAGAUACACUUUUUACCUGGUACUGAGUCUCAUACUCAUUCAGACUAUGAGAAAGUUCCUCCGCUCUCUUUUUCAAAUCAGCAGCUCCUUCUUCAGCAUUUCUUAUAGCACAGUCCCUAUCUUUUAGAGACUGUUUCAUGUCUUCAAUGUUGCUAGCAAUCUGACAACAGAGAGAGGCAAAUUCUAUGUUAACAUAACCAUUUCAGACAAAGCAUGUAGCAAAUGAUUGCAUAACAGACUUAAAAGAGCUUGGUGUCAUACAAAAGAACGCAGUAAGUAAUACGAUAUAUCAAUUACCUUUCUAGCAUUUUCAUUUUCAGUGUCAAGAUUGUCCGUCAUAUUAUCCAGUAUAGACACUUCCCUCACUACAUCUUGAGAAAGCGCAUCUACUUGGUUAGACAGAUUUUUUACUUCUCCACCCAUACUAGCCUCCUUUUCAGCAGUCAACUUGGACACUUGUGUUUCCAUUUCCUUUAUUGUUGCCUGCAUCUUUCUGGUAUCAUCAUCAACCUCAGAAAUUUUGGCCUUCACAUGUUCCACCUCACAAACUGCACUGUCCCUAAUCCUCUCCGCUUGAACAUAUUCAUAAGCAAUGCAAAACCUCUUGAGCCGAUCCAAGUCAGCAUUGCCAUUAGCCCAUUGCAUAUACUGUGUCCUUUCUCUCCUCAACUUGUCCAACGCAGGCAGUAUCUCAUGGUCAAGAAGCUUAUUAAUCUCCUCAACUUUACUCUGCUUCUUCUCAAGUGUUUUAAGAGCCGCUUCCUUUUUGGUCUCAUACAUUCUCGUCCCGGCAGCCUCUUCAAGCAUAGACAAAAUCUC